GACGAACGCUGGCGGCGUGCUUAACACAUGCAAGUCGAACGGAAAGGCCCUGCUUUUGUGGGGUGCUCGAGUGGCGAACGGGUGAGUAACACGUGAGUAACCUGCCCUUGACUUUGGGAUAACUUCAGGAAACUGGGGCUAAUACCGGAUAGGAGCUCCUGCUGCAUGGUGGGGGUUGGAAAGUUUCGGCGGUUGGGGAUGGACUCGCGGCUUAUCAGCUUGGUGGUGGGGUAGUGGCUUACCAAGGCUUUGACGGGUAGCCGGCCUGAGAGGGUGACCGGCCACAUUGGGACUGAGAUACGGCCCAGACUCCUACGGGAGGGAGCAGUGGAGAAUAUUACACAAUGGGCGGAAGCCUGAUGCAGCAACGCCGCGUGCGGGAUGACGGCCUUCGGGUUGUAAACCGAUUUCGCCUGUGACGAAGCGUGAGUGACGGUAAUGGGUAAAGAAGCACCGGCUAACUACGUG
rnacentral:rRNA from 1 species